rnacentral:tRNA from 1 species
GUCGGGAUAGCUCAGCUGUAGAGCAGAGGACAAAAAAUCCUCGUGUCACCAGUUCAAAUC